GCCCGCCUAGCUCAAUCGGAUAGAGCGUCAGACUUUUACGGAGUCAUCGGGCUGAAAUAACAUCUGAAGGCUGCGAGUUCGACCCUCGCGGUGGGCU